rnacentral:rRNA from 1 species
UACGAAGGGGGCUAGCGUUGCUCGGAAUGACUGGGCGUAAAGGGCGCGUAGGCGGACGUGUUAGUCAGGCGUGAAAGUCCUGGGCUCAACCUGGGGAUUGCGCUUGUGACGGGUUGUCUGGAGUGGGGAAGAGGGUCGUGGAAUUCCCAGUGUAGAGGUGAAAUUCGUAGAGAUUGGGAAGAACACCGGUGGCGAAGGCGGCGACCUGGUACUUGACUGACGCUGAGGCGCGAAAGCGUGGGGAGCAAACAGG